rnacentral:lncRNA from 1 species
GGCUGGUCCACGAAAAUCCGCCCACUACAGUAAGCUAAUCAAAUAACCCACCAAAUCAAUAAAAAUCUCGAUAGCAUGACAUGGCUAAUAUAAUAUUACCUAGCCUGUCAAGGUAAAACAAAACAAUUUAUAUAAUCCACAAACCACAAAUCUUGCCAUUCAUGCCAUCACAUUGUCAUAAGCCAUCAAUUCAAACCGUCAAUUUCCUAUAGAUAACACAAGUAUAUAGUCUCCACCUACUCAAUUUCCAAAAUCGUCAAUGAAUUACAAAACAAUUUAUAAAUCUCAUUCAUUUAACCAACACUUAACUUAUAAAAUAUAAAAAUCUACGGUUUAAGUUCAUUAUUCUUUAAAAUCAUAAAAACAAGUAUAAACUACUUUUGAUAGUUAAAGUGAAUAUUUAAUUACUCACAAUAACGAGAGUUUGGAGUACUCCUAUUCUUGGUCCUCAGGUACGAUAUCUUUACCCUUAUCAGAGGGCUCACCACCUAUACAUAAUACACGACAUGUAAUUCAAUAUAUUUAUGCCAAACUGUCAUAAAACUAUUUCAGGCUCUAUAUGAAUGCAUGAAAUUGAAUGAGAAUUGUUUGAAUAAUCACUUAAAGACGAUGUUCUAUGUUGGUUCAAUUAUGAUCGGACUGAAUUUGUAUUUGACCUAACUCGAACUAUACACUGUUGAAUUAACCAAAACAUUCGAUUCAACUUCAAAUAUAUUCAUUACACUUCCAAUAUUCCAAAUACACCAAAGUACCUCAAUGAGCUUGAUUGUGACUUAAUUCAUCGUAACUGAAAUUCAUUUCGAUUCUGAACUAAAGUGCUAAUGUCACAACUUGGUACUCUCCUCGAGCCCGUGACAACUGCCGCGAUGUCCCGAUAGACAUUCAUCGUCUGAAAUGCUGAUUAGAACCUCGUAAGGUUUUAAUAUCAAUUUUCUCACCUCCCCUAUGAUCAAAAGUUGUAAAAUAACAUGUUUUGAGAGGUUAUAAACUAUUUUCAAAUCAAAACAACAGAACAAUAAUUUUUGUCUCACAGGGGCAUUUUGGUCAUUUUUCCACACUAAUCUCGAAACCAGUUAAAAAUGUAGUAUAUGAGUGGAAAACACAUAUUUCAUAAUAAAAAAAAAUUUAGAUGUCUAAAACAUUCAUUUUAAACGAAACUAUAUCUAUUUGAAUAUAACAAAAAUAUUCAAUAAAAUAUUCUAUAUUCUUAUAAAACAAUAUUUAUAGAGAUACCGGUAAAUAAUUUUUAUAGCGUAAAAGCUAAAUAAAUUCAUACAUACUAUAAUACAGAUAGUCAAAGUAUAAAAUUUAAUUUACAGUGACACAUGGGCCCAUGAAUGACCAAAAGUAUCAUAAGAAAUGAACCUACAGUUUUUGGAUGAUGCCAGUCCAACUGUAGUCCUCGAUGAUACCAGCUAUGUACAAUCUAUUCUGAGCCUGAAAUGGGUGGAAAUGAGGGUGAUGAGAUUAUAAAUUUUCAGUGAGUAAACAAACAUCAUUUAAAUCAGCUAAAGCCGAGUAAAAGGAGACAAUCAAAAUAUCCCAUCACAUUACAUAUUUCACAAUUUGAAAAUUCAUCCCAACCCAUGCAAACGGUUGUAUUUCAUUUAAUUUCUCAUUAAGACUUAUGACUUUCAUAAACAUUUGGCUCAUGCCAUCAAAUAGUACUCGAUGACACCUUGAUCAGAGGCGUACACUCGAGCCCGCCAAGGUUGUUAAAAAUUUCGUAUACACGUAAAACAUAUUUUUAUUUCGUUUUGAAAACACAACCGUUCCUUGGCGUUAGCGGAGUUCAUCAUCACGAGGUGGUUCGGCGUGACAUGAACUCUAACCAUACCUCAAGAGAUACCCUACGCGCCUCUCCGACCGAGGUAUGAAUAUAACUGGAUUCCGUGCCUCUCUAAUAGGAUGGUCCACAGAACCCACCCACUGUAGCAAGCUAAACCCACCAUACAAUAAAAUUUGCAAUAACAUGACAUGGUAAUUAUUUUAUUUUACAGCCUCUCCAGGCAAAUCAAUAAUUCAUGCAUUUUCAGUACAUUUAGCAAUUUAACCAUUCAUGCCAAUAUUGCCAUAAGCCAAUCAAUUAAAACCAUAAAUUUAUAACAUAUCAAUUGGUCUCAAAUUACUCUAUUUUCAAAGUCAUCAUUCAAUUUCAAGACAAUUUAUAAAAUCAUUUCAUUUAAACACAUUUUCCAUAAAAUUCACAAAAUCGAAUAAAAAGACCACUUUAGAUAAUUAAAAUGAUGAUAAGGUUACUCACUUCACAACAAACUUUCCUAACAACAAUUUAAAUCCAAUAUACUUAGUGCAUCAAUUCCACUUCUCUCUCACAUUCUAUCAUAAAUCUACAUUAUUUCUCCUCAUUUCUUCCAAUAUUUUACCAUUCAACUUAACACUCUCAACCAAAUUAUGCAUCUAAAUACCUCCAACAUCAAUAAUUCUUCACAACGAAUCAUUUAAAAUUUCUUAACUUCAUUCGAGCACUAUUCGUAAAUUUCACAUUUUUUUCUUUACUUUAGUCCUAUGACACCUCCUAAUAAAAUAUUUAAAUGUUGUAUUAAAGUAAUUUAAAUUUAAUUCAUAUCCACCAAAUAACCAAUGUAUAAUUAAAUAAAAUGGGCUAGCCUCCAUAUAGUCUAAUUUCACAAUAAACCAUGGAGAAGAGUAAAGCAAUUUUACCAAAUUAGGCUAGUUUAGCCCAAGUCUCCACCUUCCUUCUCUUUUGGACUUUUCUUCCUUUAUGGCUAUUGGGCUCUUUUAUGAUCUCUCCUUAACUUCUUUCUAUUGGGCCAUGCCCAUUUUUCUUUCUUGUUGGGUCAUGGCCAUUUUUCUUUCUUGUUGGGUCGUGCCCGUUUUUCUUUUCUUUUCUUUUCUUUUCUUUCUUUCUUCCACCGUCCAGCAGCCCUUGCUUGUCUUUCUUUUUCUUUUCUCACAUGCACAAGCUGUGCCAAAUUUCUUCCUCUCACUCCCUCUCAUCGCCGGCCACACUUUCUAGCUUUUUCAACCAUAAUUUUUCAGCAACUAAGGCUGCUCAUAUUGACUUCAAAAUCAUUAGCUAAACUGCUUUAUUUCUUCUCAAAAAUCAGUAGCUAAGCUGCUCUAUUUUCCCUCCAAAAAUCAGCAGCCAAAACAACAAAGAUUAACAACCAAAAUCACAAUUUACAACCUUCAAAAUCAACUGUAAAAAUCUACACUUCUCAGCCUCCAAAACCAACAGCAAAACUCCACUUUUCAGCCUCCAAAAUCAGCAAUUAAAGCCUCAAAAAUCAGUAGCCAAAGCUGCUCCUUCCUUCCUCAAAAUCAGUUCUUUCCUCCAAAAGUUGCAGCAAAACCGCCCCCUCAACUCAACUCUUUCUCCUCUCACUUUCUUUCUCACGCUUGGCUUUCUCUUGUUUCUUUUUUUCUCUUUUAUUCUCCCUCACAACCGACUUCUCUCUUUCCUCACAUGGUCGGCCACUCCCUUCCUUUUUCCUUUCUUUGACUUUUCCUUGCCUUUCUUUUCUUUUUCAUCUCACAUUUAUCACUUGGCCGGCCCCUACCAUUCUCUUCUCUUAUUAUUAUUAUUAUUAUUAUUUUUUUUUAUUGUUGCAUAUUAAUCACAUGGGCGGCUGCCCUUUUGUUCCCAUAUAUUUAUAUUAUUAUAUAUAUAUAUAUAUAUAUUUAUUAACUUCAAUUAACACAUUUGCACUUAAUCCUUGAUUUUACUUUAUUUACUACAUAACCCUCUAACUUUCAUAUUUUAAAAUUCGAUCUUUCUGAUGCGUUUAAAAAAUCUAAUUUUCAUCUAUCUCUUUCCUCUGUACAUGUACUACCAAAUUAUCAAAAUUGCACUUCAACGCGGUAUUACCAUAAUAUUUAAAUAUUUACUUAUCCGCGUUCGCUCGACUUAGCAAAACACGCGUAUUUCACUUUCGUCGCUCAUUUUCAAAAAUUUAUAUGUAUUUCUUCUCCCCCAUUUGGAUCAACCAUAUGAUCCUUCUUCAUGACUGAUUUUGAUUUCGACAUCCGAUUAAAUAUUAAUAUUUUAAUAUUAUUUUAUUCAAAAAAAUUUCCUCUUGUCUCCUUGGUACCUAAAAUACCUUAUUAUACCUCAAUUGACUUCCGAAUCACCUUUUAUCUCACAAAUUCUCUUUCGAUAAAAAUAUUAUUAUUUUAUUAUUAUUUUCUCGCAUGCGAAAUAUUUUAUCCUAAAUUAUUCCUUUCAUCUUUCAUCACUUUUAAACAUUAUAAUUGUCCUCAAUUUGCAUCCGAUCAACUUUAUUGUCCUCAAAAUAUGGGGUAUCACAGCUAAUCAGUGUUAACAUGGUCCAAUAAAUCCAUCUAUAUCAUUAAGAAUCAAAUCUAAGUCCAUUCACUAUGAUUUUCUCAUUAUUGUUCAAGUCGUUUACUAAAGGAACUAUACUUUUCGAUAAUCGUUUUCGAUAUCCAAUACCAUAAAUCAUCAAUUACGAGCUAAAUAACAUGAAAUACAACAAAAUCCAUCAUCAACAUGUCACUUAUAACAUUCGGCCAAAGAGGGUUGUUGAAGGGCAUGUGAUUUUCUUGCUUGUUUUUCAUGCCAAACAUCAUCAAACAACUAAAAACACUAAGAUAUCACGAAAUCUAGCAAAAUCCAUCAUCAAAACCUCGCUCCCUAUGUUCGGCCAGUAAGUAUUCCCUCAUGGAAACUUAUGUUUCAACCAUAGAAAAUGAAAAAGAAAGCGUGUGAAAGGUAGAUUUUGAGCUAAAAUUGAAAAAUUUUACCUUUGAUUGCUUUGUUCUUUGAAAUUCAACAAAUUUCUCUUGAAUUUUCCUCGCUAGGGUUUGUUUCUAUUCUUUUCUCUUUGUUUUUUGCUUUGGCCGGC